rnacentral:rRNA from 1 species
UAAAGAUUCAUCGGCUGCGGAUGGCCAUGCGGCGCAUUAGCUAGUCGGCGGGGUAACGGCCCACCGAGGCGACGAUGCGUAGGGGUUCUGAGAGGAAGGUCCCCCACACUGGUACUGAGACACGGACCAGACUCCUACGGGAGGCAGCAGUGAGGAAUAUUGGUCAAUGGCCGGGAGGCUGAACCAGCCAAGUCGCGUGAGGGAAGACGGCCCUACGGGUUGUAAACCUCUUUUGUCAGGGAGCAAGGUGCAGGUCGGGACCUGCUGUGAGAGUACCUGAAGAAAAAGCAUCGGCUAACUCCGUGCCAGCAGCCGCGGUAAUACGGAGGAUGCGAGCGUUAUCCGGAUUUAUUGGGUUUAAAGGGUGCGCAGGCGGAGGCACAAGUCAGCGGUAAAAUCGCGGGGCUCAACCCCGCUCCGCCGUUGAAACUGUGUCCCUUGAGUGCGCGAAGGGUAGGCGGAAUGCGUGGUGUAGCGGUGAAAUGCAUAGAUAUCACGCAGAACUCCGAUCGCGAAGGCAGCCUACCGGCGCGCGACUGACGCUCAUGCACGAAAGCGUGGGUAUCGAACAGGAUUAGAUACCCUGGUAGUCCACGCAGUAAACGAUGAAUGCUAUCUGUCCGGCCGGAAUGACGGCUGG